rnacentral:rRNA from 1 species
GAUGAACGCUGGCGGCGUGCCUAAUACAUGCAAGUCGAGCGAAUGGAUUAAGAGCUUGCUCUUAUGAAGUUAGCGGCGGACGGGUGAGUAACACGUGGGUAACCUGCCCAUAAGACUGGGAUAACUCCGGGAAACCGGGGCUAAUACCGGAUAACAUUUUGAACCGCAUGGUUCGAAAUUGAAAGACGGCUUCGGCUGUCACUUAUGGAUGGACCCGCGUCGCAUUAGCUAGUUGGUGAGGUAACGGCUCACCAAGGCAACGAUGCGUAGCCGACCUGAGAGGGUGAUCGGCCACACUGGGACUGAGACACGGCCCAGACUCCUACGGGAGGCAGCAGUAGGGAAUCUUCCGCAAUGGACGAAAGUCUGACGGAGCAACGCCGCGUGAGUGAUGAAGGCUUUCGGGUCGUAAAACUCUGUUGUUAGGGAAGAACAAGUGCUAGUUGAAUAAGCUGACACCUUGACGGUACCUAACCAGAAAGUCACGGCUAACUACGUGCCAGCAGCCGCCGCGG